rnacentral:rRNA from 1 species
AGAGUUUGAUCCUGGCUCAGAACGAACGCUGGCGGCAGGCUUAACACAUGCAAGUCGAACGCGCCCUUCGGGGCGAGUGGCAGACGGGUGAGUAACGCGUGGGAACCUACCUUUUGGUACGGAAUAACUCAGGGAAACUUGAGCUAAUACCGUAUGUGCCCUGUCCUUUAACGGGAUUUGGGGAAAGAUUUAUCGCCAAAGGAUGGGCCCGCGUCGGAUUAGCUAGUUGGUGGGGUAAUGGCCUACCAAGGCGACGAUCCGUAGCUGGUCUGAGAGGAUGAUCAGCCACACUGGGACUGAGACACGGCCCAGACUCCUACGGGAGGCAGCAGUGGGGAAUAUUGGACAAUGGGGGCAACCCUGAUCCAGCCAUGCCGCGUGAGUGAAGAAGGCCUUAGGGUUGUAAAGCUCUUUCGCCGGUGAAGAUAAUGACGGUAACCGAGAAGAAGC